GGAAGAUAGGGAAGUCAUUCACAUUUUUGCUGGAAUAUAAGGCAUUUUUCCUUUAAUUAUUAUUAUUUUUUUUAUGUAAGAGAAGAUUUGCAAGCUGGACACCACUGUUCAGUAACACACGUUUCAAUCUUGGAAGAGAAAGGUCUGUUUAUCAUGUCUGCCAAGAAAUUAAUUUAGUGCCAGAGGCUGUGGCAAUUGCUGUAUGGCUGGUCUCAGAUGAAGUCCCCAUAGAAAAUGCCUUUGUGAACUUUAUUUGUUUUUGGAUUUUUUGAAAAGGAUAAAAACUGCAAGGCCCAGUCACCUCUAAUGGUCUGCCCUUUCACUGUGCUCAGAGACCCCACACGCAGCAGCAUGGAGAACCGGUGCUGCCAGCAUCCUCAACAACCCAAUGCCCAGGCCCAAGAGGCCUCGCCCGGGCCACAGUCUUCCAUGCCUCAGUCCCCGUUACUGUCUGGAGCUACCUCCCUCAUCUCCCUUACCCAGAGAGAGGAGUUUUUUGACCUGAUAGCCAGUUCCCAGAGCCGCAGACUAGAUGACCAGAGAGCCAGUAUAGGGGAUCGUCUGGGCAUAAGAAUAGCACAAAACAACUUGGGACACUUGUGUGAAGCAUGUAGUCCACGGGAACCUAGUGAUGAGUUCUUCAACAUGCUCAUAAAAUAUCAGACAAUGAAAGUGAAAGGAGACUGAGUCCUCCAGAAUCAAUGAUCAGAGAUGCUCUUUGCCUCCAGCACCAGACCCAGAUGAAGACUUCUUUAGCCUAAUUCAGAGAGUGCAAUCCAAACGGAUAGAUGAACAACGGGUUUCUUUUCACUCUGAUGAAAAGGGUGACACAGACUUAGAGGUCCAAAACCAAAAGAACUCAAGCUAGAGACUGUCACACUACUGUACUGACCUCCACAAAAUGCUUCAGAAAACCCUAACAUGACUGACUGGUUGCACAUUUUGGGAGAUCUUCAUAGGUUUGGGCUAUAGUGGGAAGUAAUUUAGGACACUAACAGAAUUAUUUCAUUUUAUAUAUAUAUAUAUAUAUAUAUAUAUAUAUAUAUAUACAUACACACACUACCGGUAAAAAGUUUUGAAACACUUUUAGAAUAAUAGUAAAGUCAUCAAAACUAUGGAAUAUGUUGUGACUAAACAAAAUCCAAAAUAAAUCAAAACUGUGUUAUAUUUUAGCAUCUUCAAAGUAGUCACCCUUUGCCUAGAAUUUGCAGACAUGUACUCUUGGCAUUUUAUCAAUCAACUUCUUGAGGUAUCAUCCUGAGAUGCUUUUUAAACAGUAUUGAAGGAGUUCCCAUCUAUGUUGGGCACUUAUUGGCUGCUUUUCUUUAUUAUUUGGUCAUCAAUUUAAAAAAAAAAAAAUUUUAAUUACAUUUUUGUUUUAUAAUGAAAUAAAUUAAUAUGUUGGCACAAUUAUAUUUUUGUCUACAAAAUUAAUUUCAAACAUUUAAGCAUACGCCUUCAGAUCAAAAGAUUUUUA